UCAGUCCUAUUCAGGACAGAGCAUGGACAGGAAGGGUCUUGCUCAGUUUCUGGGGCUUCUGCUGUUCUGGCUCUCAGGUGCCAGAUGUGACAUUCAGAUGACUCAGUCUCCACCCUCCCUGUCUGCAUCUCUAGGGGACACAGUCACCAUCAAGUGUGUGGCAAGUCAGGGAAUUAGUAAUGAUUUAAACUGGUACCAGCAGAAACCAGGGAAUUCUCCUAAGCUCUUGAUCUAUUAUGCAACCAAUUUGUACCCUGGUGUCUCAUCAAGGUUCAGUGGCCAGUACUCUGGGACAGAUUUCACUCUCACUAUCAGCAAACUGGAGCUUGAAGAUACUGGACUUUAUUAUUGCCUACAGCAUUACAGUAACCCUCCCACAGUGAUAGAGAUCAUAAUAUAA